CACCUGGUAGGACAGAGAAAAGAGAAAAGAACAGCAGUGUUCGGACCCCCUCCCAACCCAUUCCUUUCCCAAAGUCAGAAAAGGCCAGACCACCAGACGGUGGGACUCACAGAUCCCAGCCCAAAUGGUGCAACUGUGUGUGUGUGUGUGUGUGUGUGUGUGUGCACGUGUUGGGCGGGUGACAAGUUGUACUUAAGGGAUCAAAGAUACUUCACCAGGGUGGAGGAAAGCCUCCACGAAGAGUAACAAAUUAACGAGGGUCUCUUGGAAGAGGAGCCUCAGAGACCGUCUAGGAGUUAGGAUUUCACGGGAUACGAGGCCGUCCUGGUUGGAAGGACCCCCUCAUCUACCGGUGAGGGACAAAGGCUUAGAAGGGGCCGUGACUCAAGGCCCCUGGGAGCCGGGAGUAGGAGACGGUUUUCUUAGUGCCCACUCUGUGGCUGCAGGCCAUCCAGCAGGGCAGAGGAGGGAUGCAGGGGGCACAGCCCCCCUUCCCGGCCCUCGUCUGCCUGUACAUCUGCCUCUGACACCCCUUCUCCACGGGGAGGAAGGGGAUUCUUGCAGAAUGGACGGCACUGCUCGGGAGGGUGGCUGGCAUCCGAGAGGCCGGUGACGAGGCUCUCGGUCACAAGCGUGAGCGGAUCGGAGCCGGAUGAACAAGCAUUUGCACGUGCGGGUCUGUGGGCAAAUGUCACAGACCCCAAGGAGGAAGCCCCUUCAAGGCCCCCUGCCUUCUCUUGCACCCCCGCUAGCCCCUGCACCUGCCCCCUGAAGGCCACGUGGGCCUCCCAGUUGAAGACAACAGCAUCUUUGCGGUCCUUAUGCCGCGUGACUCCUCUGAGCAUUCGGCACUGGCCACCACCCCCUCCUUGAGACCUGCUUGUCUGCAUGGACCCCAUUAUUCCCGGUUGCCCUCCCCGCUUCUUCCGGCUCUUUCCCGCCUCCUCAGGGUGGCCGCCAAGUGCAGCGGAAGAGGCGGCUGUGGAGGCGGAUGGACACCGCCUGAGCUUGGACACCGGCCCUCCCCAGUGUCACACCUCGGACCCGUCUUUUCACCGCGUCUCGGCCCAAGGAGGGGACGAGCCCCACCCUCCAAAGUUGUCGUGAAGGACUGGUGGCCCCGGUUCCAUCCUUGUCCCCUUCCCUGACCCCGGUUCUCUUCCCGGCCAGAACGAUGCAACGGACUAGCCGGCCUUCAGCUGCACCUGUGUGCUGGUGAGCCUUGCUCUCCGGGCCCGACCCUCUGUCCUGGGCUCUAACCCGAGGCCAGCUUCCCCUGGGAUGUCUCUUCCCAGGCGUCUCAUGGACGCUUCCAACUGAAGGCCAAAAGGGAGCUCAUCAUGCACUCCCACCAGCACGCCAAGCCUGCCCUCUGUCCCCGUCUCGAUACGGUCCUGUCUGUGCAUUCUGUCCCUUUGCCCCUGCAUCUUCCUCACUGACCAUGUCCAGCUCGGUCACUAUGUUCUCAAAGCAUUUCUCUCAUGUGACUCCUCGCCUCCAGCCCGUUGCCACCGCCCUGGUUCAGGGCCUCACCCCUUGCCUGAACUAUGGCAGCGGCCUCUCUCCCUGCCUCCUUGCCUCCCGUCCUCCUCCAGAUCCAGACCCUCCGCACGGGUAGCCUCCUGAAAGCUGGAUCAGCCGGGACGCCUGUGCUCUCUGGGGACUGCAGGAUGAAGCCCAAGUCGGGCAUUUAGGCAAAGUCCUUCCAAAUGGCCUCGGCCCAACCUCCCAGUCUCCUGUGCCUCUCGCCUCCCCCCACACCUGCACCCCACGUGCAGGCUGACGCCAUCAGGGCACGCACUGUCUCUGACCUUGACAGCCUUCCUCUCCCUGCCUCACAAGACACUCCAGCCUUCGAGGCCCAGAUCAAAUAUCGUGCGCUCUGUAAAAACAUUGUCCAGUUCUCUGAAGCAGAAUUAACUGCUCCCUGCUCAGAGUUCCCUGGGGGAUCCGUCCCCCGGCCUCCGUGACGGCACCGAUCGUGGCCAGAGGCAGCCUCACCAGCAGGAGCAUGGCUUUCCAGGCCGUGUACCAUGCUUCACAUACCUGAUCCGGCCCUUACUGGCAGAUUUAUUUCGGGAAAGCGACUUACCCCCUCUGAGUCUCAGCUUGUUUUAUUUUUAAACGGGGAUAACGACGCCUCCCUCAGAGACAGAGCGGUUACGGGGUUGAGAAACCCUUUACGGACACACACACACACACGCGCGCGCUUCAGUGUGGUAGUUAGGAAAGGGAGGGCUGCCUUGGGUCAAACCCGGCUCUACCUCUUAUGAGCACGUUCCUUCGUGCCUCAGCUCCCCUCUUCUGUUCGAAAGGAAAAAACCGGUGCUUACGCAUCAGGUUCUUGCGGAGAUUAAAUGAGAUCAUACGGGUUAA